CCUACGUGUGGCAGCAGUGAGGAAUAUUGGUCAAUGGCCGGAAGGCUGAACCAGCCAUGCCGCGUGAAGGUCAGUGCCCUAUGGGCGUUAAACUUCUUUUGUGCGGGAGCAAUAAUGGUCACGUGUGGCCAGACGAGAGUACCAUAUGAAUAAGGAUCGGCUAACUCCGGGCCAGCAGCCGCGGUAAUCCGGAGGAUGCGAGCGUUAUCCGGAUUUAUUGGGUUUAAAGGGUGCGUAGGUUGUUGUUUAAGUCAUCGGUGAAAGUUUGUGGCUCAACCAGAAAAUUGCCGUUGAAACUGGAAGACUUGAGUGUGUUUGAGGUAGGCGGAAUGCGUGGUGGAGCGGUGAAAUGCAUAGAUAUCACGUAGAACUCCGAUUGCGAAGGCAGCUUACUAAGCCAUAACUGACACUGAAGCACGAAAGCGUGGGGAUCAAACAGGAUUAGAUACCCGGGUAGUC
rnacentral:rRNA from 1 species